CGGGUGGACUUGCUCUGCGCCUCUACCGCCACCUGCAUAAAAUCUCCGACGAUUUUGCCAUUUCACCUGACAACCAAUUGCAUCGGCUUCUAUAUCUGUCUCAAACAAAAGCUCUCAGAUAUCAUUUUGAACCGAUUUUGGACCUUGCCGGGCCUCUCCCCCAAGCCCUACGACACCGGCAAGUCGUUGCCGGCGGCCUUCUUUGGCCGCACCGACUCGGCCUACCUGUAUCUGACCUGCGACUCUAAGAUCCGCGGCGCUAACAAGCUCGCGUCGCUCCGGCCGCCGUCACGUGCAAAGCCGACGCCGUCGUCCUCUGAAUCUGGUAUUGUGUGCUUCCGGAUCGCAUUCUCUGUGUAGAUCCGAGCGCUGUCGGCGUUUCUCGGUAUUCCGCCAUCGACGUUGCUCGCGUUCUCGUGCUCCUUCUCCGCUUGCCUCGGCCUCGUCG
rnacentral:lncRNA from 1 species